UGAGUAAUGCAUAAGAAUCUGCCUAUUAGUUGGGGAUAGCCUGUGGAAACGCAGGAUAAUACCGAAUGUGUUUUGAAUUGAGAGAUUUAAAAAUAAAGGUGGCCUUUCGGGGCUGUCGCUAAUAGAUGAGCUUAUGUCAGAUUAGCUAGUUGGUGGGGUAAAGGCCUACCAAGGCGACGAUCUGUAGCUGUUCUGAGAGGAAGAUCAGCCACAUUGGGACUGAGACACGGCCCAGACUCCUACGGGAGGCAGCAGUGGGGAAUAUUGGACAAUGGGCGAAAGUGAUCCAGCAAUACCGCGUGUGUGAAGAAGGCCUGAGGGUUAUAAAGCACUUUCAGUUAGGAAGAAGAUGUUUAUUCGAUAAAGAUAGAUGUUUGACGUUACUGACAGAAGAAGCACCGGCUAACUCUGUGCCAGCAGCCGCGGUAAUACAGAGGGUGCAAGCGUUAACCGGAAUUACUGGGCGUAAAGGGUGUGUAGGUGGUUGUAUAAGUCAGGUGUGAAAUCCCGCAGCUUAACUGCGAACUGCGCUUGAUACUGUACGACUAGAGUCUUGGAGAGGAUAGUGGAAUUUCCGGUGUAGCGGUGAAAUGCGUAGAUAUCGGAAGGAACACCAGAGGCGAAGGGACUAUCUGGCCAAAGACUGACACUGAGACACGAAAGCGUGGGUAGCAAACAGGAUUAGAUACCCUGGUAGUCCACGCUGUAAACGAUGAGGACUAGCUGUUAGGCACUACGGUGUUUAGUAGCGCAGUAACGCACUAAGUUCUCCGCCUGGGGAGUACGGUCGCAAGAUUAAAACUCA
rnacentral:rRNA from 1 species